GACAUACAUACAUACAUACAUACACAGACACAUACACUAACAGAUAUACUGACACACACACAAAGACAUACACUGACAAAUAUACUGACACACACAGGCAUACUGACAGAUACAUUGACACACACACACAGGCAUACUGACAGACACACACACACAGGCAUACUGACAUACACACAGACAGACGUACUGGCAGAUACAGACAGACAUUAAAACAUUCACAGAUACAUACUGACACAUACACUGACAUACAAAUAUAUCCUGGCAGACAUAUUGAGACACACACACACACACACAGACAUACACACACAGACACAUACACUGACAGGCCUACUGACACACACAUACACACAGACAUACUUACAUACACACAGACAUACUGACACACACAGACAUGCUGAAACACACACACAGACAUACUGACAUACACACAGACAGACGUACUGGCACAUACACACGGACAGACAUUAAAACAUUCACAGAUACAUACUGACACACAUACACUGACAUACAAAUAUAUCCUGGCAGACAUAUUGACACACACACACACUGACAUACAUACAUACACA